UGAGGAAUAUUGGUCAAUGGGCGGGAGCCUGAACCAGCCAAGUCGCGUGAAGGAAGAAGGAUCUAUGGUUCGUAAACUUCUUUUGCAGGGGAAUAAAGUGCAGGACGUGUCCUGUUUUGUAUGUACCCUGAGAAUAAGGAUCGGCUAACUCCGUGCCAGCAGCCGCGGUAAUACGGAGGAUCCGAGCGUUAUCCGGAUUUAUUGGGUUUAAAGGGUGCGUAGGUGGUUUGAUAAGUCAGCGGUGAAAGUUUGCAGCUUAACUGUAAAAUGCCGUUGAAACUGUCGGACUUGAGUGUAAAUGAGGUAGGCGGAAUGCGUGGUGUAGCGGUGAAAUGCAUAGAUAUCACGCAGAACUCCGAUUGCGAAGGCAGCUUACUAAGCUACAACUGACACUGAAGCACGAAAGCGUGGGGAUCAAACA
rnacentral:rRNA from 1 species